AUGCCCCCACUCUCCUUGCAACCAAGGAGCCCACACCCCUUCCCCCAGUGUCUCUUCCAUCAGUCCAAGGCUGAGGCAACCCAGUUGCUUCCGAAGCAAGAUGACCAAGUUUGGAAGAGACGGCUGAAGCAUCUGUCCCUGGCAGAAGCUCUGUCUUGCGCUCAGACACUCUACCCAGACUUUGUUCCUGGCGGCACCAGAGAACUUCCCCAGCCCGGGGAGGAAUCUCUGAGGAUCACAGGUGUCAACAGGAUGGAAAUAAAACCAGAGACCAUGCUGAGAUUCUUCCGUGGAGAUCCAAAAAGGAGCAUUCUGCUUCCCAGCACUUCUUGCCAAGGAUGAUCUCAGAUUCAUCUGCUCCCAUUCACAGUGAGCAAAGGCCUUGAUUUUAAUAAGGGCACAGCUCCUUUUCCCCUUCUCCUGUUGCUGAAAUUGGGCUGGAUGAGGAUGGUUGAGGGUCAG
rnacentral:lncRNA from 1 species